GGAUAAUGACACACAUUAUAGAGGAGGAGAGGGUGAGGCAGAGUGAGUGGAUGAGUGGUGUUUCAGCCCCUUAGAUAUCAUGGAAAUGCAGGCUUUAGUUUGAAUAUUUUGAUAUGAUGAUCAAGCCAAUUGCUAUGGAGAAAAUUGCUGCAAGGAAUCUGGAAGAUUGGAGCCCUACUCUUCAUGCACACCUUCACAAUCACCCAGCUGAUAUUCAUCGUCAAUAUGGCUUGUGUCUCUUCCCCUUUGCUUAAAACAAACAGAAAACAUGAAAAUCCUAGCAGUACAAUUCAACAUGUUAUAGAAGAUCAGAAUAAUAAAAGAGAGAGAUUUAAAUAUCUUGAUGACUUCAACCAAUAUUGCAGUGACAGUAUCCAAUGUAUCAACUCAAG